UCCUCAAUGGCAUCGUAAAAUUUUAUUUUAUAAUAAUUCAGACAUUAUGCAUAAAUAUUUGUAACUUGGUGGCCUAUUGAAAAAUGUAUGGGCUUUGAUAGUAUGUUUACUUUAGGAUGCCAUUUGACCGGCUUUUGGCAUUAUAUGUGCUUAUUUUUCCAGUAUCUUCAAUAUGUGGCAGGAGAGAGAGAUGAGUAGAACUACUUCAUUUACAAGAGAAAUGAGUAGAUCUGCUUCAUUUGCAAAAGAUAUGAGUAGAAAUACUUCAUUUGCAAAAGAUAUGAGUAGAAAUACUUCAUUUGCAAAAGAUAUGAGUAGAUCUUCUUCAUUUGCAUCUGAUGGGGAAAUUUUAGAUGGGAUGGUUACUCGUAGCCGCGGUGAGAUUAGACGCAUGUGCAGUCUCAAGCAUACCAGUUGCAGCGAAA
rnacentral:lncRNA from 1 species